rnacentral:misc_RNA from 1 species
UAGCCAGGUUAGAGAGGGAGUGGUG